rnacentral:rRNA from 1 species
AUUGAACGCUGGCGGCAGGCUUAACACAUGCAAGUCGAGCGGAGUGAUGGUGCUUGCACUAUCACUUAGCGGCGGACGGGUGAGUAAUGCUUAGGAAUCUGCCUAUUAGUGGGGGACAACAUCUCGAAAGGGAUGCUAAUACCGCAUACGUCCUACGGGAGAAAGCAGGGGAUCACUUGUGACCUUGCGCUAAUAGAUGAGCCUAAGUCGGAUUAGCUAGUUGGUGGGGUAAAGGCCUACUAAGGCGACGAUCGGUAGCGGGUCUGAGAGGAUGAUCCGCCACACUGGGACUGAGACACGGCCCAGACUCCUACGGGAGGCAGCAGUGGGGAAUAUUGGACAAUGGGGGGAACCCUGAUCCAGCCAUGCCGCGUGUGUGAAGAAGGCCUUAUGGUUGUAAAGCACUUUAAGCGAGGAGGAGGCUCUUUUGGUUAAUACCCAAGAUGAGUGGACGUUACUCGCAGAAUAAGCACCGGCUAACUCUGUGCCAGCCGCCGCGGUAA